rnacentral:rRNA from 1 species
ACGGGAGGCAGCAGUGGGGAAUAUUGCACAAUGGGGGAAACCCUGAUGCAGCGACGCCGCGUGAAGGAAGAAGUAUCUCGGUAUGUAAACUUCUAUCAGCAGGGAAGAUAAUGACGGUACCUGACUAAGAAGCCCCGGCUAACUACGUGCCAGCAGCCGCGGUAGUACGUAGGGGGCAAGCGUUAUCCGGAUUUACUGGGUGUAAAGGGAGCGUAGACGGAGAAGUAAGUCUGAUGUGAAAGGCAUGGGCUCAACCUGUGGACUGCAUUGGAAACUAUUUUUCUUGAGUGCCGGAGGGGUAAGCGGAAUUCCUAGUGUAGCGGUGAAAUGCGUAGAUAUUAGGAGGAACACCAGUGGCGAAGGCGGCUUACUGGACGGUAACUGACGUUGAGGCUCGAAAGCGUGGGGAGCAAACAGGAUUAGAUACCCUGGUA